rnacentral:rRNA from 1 species
AUUGAACGCUGGCGGCAUGCUUUACACAUGCAAGUCGGACGAGUGGCGAACGGGUGAGUAAUAUAUUGGAACGUACCUAGUAAUGGGGGAUCACCAAUCGAAAGAUUGGCUAAUACCGCAUAUUAUUCGAGCGGCCCAUAUCUGAUUAGCUAGUUGGUGGGGUAAAGGCCUACCAGGGCGACGAUCAGUAGCGGGUCUGAGAGGAGGAUCCGGCACAAUGGGAUUGAGACACGGCCCAGACUCCGACGGGAGGGAGCAGUGGGGAAUUUUGGACAAUGGGCGCAAGCCUGAUCCAGCCAUGCCGCGUGUCUGAAGAAGGCCUUCGGGUUGUAAAGGGCUUUUGUUAGGAAAGCGGUACCUAAAGAAUAAGCACCGGCUAACUACGUGCCAGCAGCCGCGGUAAUUC